rnacentral:rRNA from 1 species
AAUCAACGCUGGCGGCGUGCCUCAGACAUGCAAGUCGAACGCGAAAGUUCCCUUCGGGGGGAUGAGUAGAGUGGCGCACGGGUGAGUAACACGUAGGUAAUCUACCUUUGGAUGGGGAAUAACAACCGGAAACGGUUGCUAAUACCGCAUAAUGCAGCGGCACCUAAUGGUGACAGUUGUUAAAGCGGGGGAUCGAAAGACCUCGCGUCUGAAGAGGAGCCUGCGGCGGAUUAGCAGUUGGUAAGGUAACGGCUUACCAAGGCACGAUCCGUAGCCGGCCUGAGAGGGGCGGUCGGCCACACUGACACUGACAUACGGGUCAGACUCCGUACGGGAGGCAGCAGUCGGGAAUUUUGGGCAAUGGGCGAAAGCCUGACCCAGCAACGCCGCGU